rnacentral:rRNA from 1 species
AGCAACCGCGGUAAUUCCAGCUCCAAUAGCGUAUAUUAAAGUUGUUGCAGUUAAAAAGCUCGUAGUUGAAUUUCGGGACCAAUUUGUUGGUCGUGCCUCGGUACGUACUGGUAUUAUUGGUUUCUCCCUUCUGAAGAACCUCGAUGCCAUUAAUUUGGUGUCGUGGGGAAUCAGGACUGUUACUUUGAAAAAUUAGAGUGUUUAAAGCAAGCAUACGCUUGAAUACAUUAGCAUGGAAUAAUGAAAUAGGACGUUUGAUUCUAUUUUGUUGGUUUCUAGGAUCGACGUAAUGAUUAAUAGGGAUAGUUGGGGGCAUUAGUAUUCAAUUGUCAGAGGUGAAAUUCUUGGAUUUAUUGAAGACUAACUACUGCGAAAGCAUUUGCCAAGGAUGUUUUCAUUAAUCAAGAACGAAAGUUAGGGGAUCGAAGACGAUCAGAUACCGUCGUAGUCUUAACCAUAAACUAUGCCGACUAGGGAUCGGAUGAUGUUAAUUUUUAAUGACUC